rnacentral:rRNA from 1 species
UACGAAGGGGGCUAGCGUUGUUCGGAAUCACUGGGCGUAAAGCGCACGUAGGCGGACCAUUAAGUCAGGGGUGAAAGCCUGGAGCUCAACUCCAGAACUGCCUUUGAUACUGAUGGUCUCGAGUUCGGAAGAGGUUGGUGGAACUGCGAGUGUAGAGGUGAAAUUCGUAGAUAUUCGCAAGAACACCAGUGGCGAAGGCGGCCAACUGGUCCGAUACUGACGCUGAGGUGCGAAAGCGUGGGGAGCAAAC